rnacentral:rRNA from 1 species
GACGAGCGCUGGCGGCGUGCUUAACACAUGCAAGUCGAACGGAAAGGCCCUGCUUGCAGGGUACUCGAGUGGCGAACGGGUGAGUAACACGUGGGUGAUCUGCCCUGCACUUCGGGAUAAGCUUGGGAAACUGGGUCUAAUACCGGAUAGGAACCAUCUUUAGUGUGGUGGUUGGAAAGUUUUUUCGGUGUAGGAUGAGCUCGCGGCCUAUCAGCUUGUUGGUGGGGUAAUGGCCUACCAAGGCGGCGACGGGUAGCCGGCCUGAGAGGGUGUACGGCCACAUUGGGACUGAGAUACGGCCCAGACUCCUACGGGAGGCAGCAGUGGGGAAUAUUGCACAAUGGGCGCAAGCCUGAUGCAGCGACGCCGCGUGGGGGAUGAAGGCCUUCGGGUUGUAAACUCCUUUCGCUAGGGACGAAGCUUUGUUGUGACGGUACCUAGAUAAGAAGCACCGGCUAACUACGUG